AGUUGUGAUCAUACCAGCACCCAUGCACUAGAUCCCAUUAGAACUCUGCAGUUAAGCGAGCUUGGGCAUGAGUAGUACUAGGAUGGGCGACCACCUGAGAAUUCCUCGUGUUGCACCUC
rnacentral:rRNA from 2 species